CCUACGGGGGGCUGCAGUGAGGAAUAUUGGUCAAUGGACGAGAGUCUGAACCAGCCAAGUAGCGUGAAGGAUGACUGCCCUAUGGGUUGUAAACUUCUUUUAUAUGGGAAUAAAACGUUCCACGUGUGGGAUUUUGUAUGUACCAUAUGAAUAAGGAUCGGCUAACUCCGUGCCAGCAGCCGCGGUAAUACGGAGGAUCCGAGCGUUAUCCGGAUUUAUUGGGUUUAAAGGGAGCGUAGGUGGAUUGUUAAGUCAGUUGUGAAAGUUUGCGGCUCAACCGUAAAAUUGCAGUUGACACUGGCAGUCUUGAGUACAGUAGAGGUGGGCGGAAUUCGUGGUGUAGCGGUGAAAUGCUUAGAGAUCACGAAGAACUCCGAUUGCGAAGGCAGUUCACUGGACUGCAACUGACACUGAGGCUCGAAAGUGUGGGUAUCAAACAGGAUUAGAUACCCGUGUAGUC
rnacentral:rRNA from 1 species